rnacentral:rRNA from 1 species
UACGGAGGGUGCGAGCGUUGUCCGGAAUCACUGGGCGUAAAGGGCGCGUAGGUGGCCGAGCAAGGUCGCGGUGAAAGCCCGGGGCUCAACCCCGGGUCGGCCGUGGCAACUACUGGGCUGGAGCACUGUAGGGGCGGGUGGAAUUCCGGGUGUAGCGGUGGAAUGCGUAGAGAUCCGGAAGAACACCGGUGGCGAAGGCGGCCCGCUGGGCAGUUGCUGACACUGAGGCGCGACAGCGUGGGGAGCAAACAGGG